GCGGGCAUGGUCCAGUGGCUAUGACGUCUGCCUAACACGCAGAAGACCCCGGGUUCGACCCCCGGUGCCCGUA
rnacentral:tRNA from 1 species